GCUCGACCCAAGCUGAACCGCACCGAGAUCAAGCCAUGACAGUCCUGGCCUUUGGAGCCGCCGCUACCUGGCCGGAGGCCGUCGUCCAGUGCCUCCUCUUCGUCCUCGCCGCGGGUAUGCUCGUGGCCCUCCACUCCCUCCCCCGCCGAGUUGCCCAUCGUCUCCGCCGCGGCGCCAGCGGCUCCUCGGCCGCUCAAUCGCGCCGGCACUUCGCGCUGGGUGCCCAGCUCCUCGCCCGCGCGCGAGCCGCUGCUCCGAAGCCCCCGGGCCCGCUCGCCCGCGCGGCCCUCGCCGAGGCCGACCGCGCCAUCGCGCUCGACCCCCGCGACGCAGCGCCGCUGAUCCUCAAGGCCCUCGCCCUCGACCUCCAGGGUCACCGCCUCCCCGCGCUGCGCACCCUCGACGUCGCCCUGGCGCCGCCGCUCGCGCGAUCCCUGGAACCGCGGGAGCGCGGGGACGCGCUCGCCAAGCGCGCCGAGAUCGCGCUAGCGCUUAACCGCCGCCGCCGCCUCGAUCAGGCCGCCGCAGAUCUCACCGAGGCCGUCCGCCUUAGCCCCGAGAACCCCCGCGCUCAUGCUCUGCUUGGCGAGUGCUACGAGAGGAAGGGCCUCACUGCCGAAGCCAGGAACUCCUUCAAGACCGCCGCGUCAAUCGACCCAUCUCUGGCUACUGCGCACGACGGCCUCCGUCGGACAGGCGCAGGCAGCGAAGUCAACGAGAGUGACUGAUGACUCGUUUUUAUAUUGUUAUAUAUUUGGGGGUGGAAUGAACGAUCCCCUUGAAGACCAAAUAUGAAGAAUAAAGCAGAACUGGGAUGAAGGAGCAGCGAGGUGGUCUUAUUUGAAUUCGAGUUGUGGAGGGGAGGCGAUGGAUGAGGACCUGUUAAGGACAACCAUAAUAUAUUGUCUCUUGGGCUAUAGCAGGAAGGGAAAUGUAAUCAAAGGAGGAGAAGGCCAAUCCUACGUGCAAGGGGGUGAGAGCCUGAGAGGAGAAUGAAACGGACCACCACCACCAAUUCCCUUCAUUAUAGUCUUCAUAGUAGUACAGGUACAUUAAGGCUUUCUUUUCCUGCUAGAGCUCAGAUGGUGAAUCUUUGUCAUGUAGACAUGUACAGAGGACUAGAACAAUCGUAUCAGUCAUGAUAUAAUCUGUAGUGUACAUAGGGGAAUUUAUUGAGUGUGGUGUUUCUGCAGUACAGGUACUCAAUCCAUCUCCACAGCUAUAGGGCAACAGAGUUAAUCAGUUAAUUGUAUCUUUGAUUCUCGCAUUCUACUCUUGGAUGCCUUUAUUAGCAUUUCUUUCACAAAUAAUGGAUUUAUUUAUUUUCUCA